rnacentral:rRNA from 1 species
AUUGAACGCUGGCGGCAGGCCUAACACAUGCAAGUCGAACGAGUGGCGGACGGGUGAGUAAUGUAUGGGAAACUGCCAGAUGGAGGGGGAUAACUACUGGAAACGGUAGCUAAUACCGCAUAACAUCGGAGGUGCCCAGAUGGGAUUAGCUAGUGGGUGGGGUAAAGGCUCACCUAGGCGACGAUCCCUAGCUGGUCUGAGAGGAUGAACAGCCACACUGGAACUGAGACACGGUCCAGACUCCUACGGGAGGCAGCAGUGGGGAAUAUUGCACAAUGGGCGCAAGCCGGAUGCAGCCAUGCCGCGUGUAUGAAGAAGGCCUUCGGGUUGUAAAGUACUUUCAGCGGGGAAGCGUUACCCGAAGAAUAAGCACCGGCUAACUCCGUGCCAGCAGCCGCGGUAAUAC